GAUGAAUGCUGGCGGCGUGCCUAACACAUGCAAGUCGAGCGGCAGCGAGGGGUGCUUGCACCCUGUCGGCGAGCGGCGAACGGCUGAGUAACGCGUAGGAAUUUGCCCCAAAGUGAGGAAUAACUGCCCGAAAGGGUAGCUAAUGCCGCAUAUGGUCUUCGGAUUAAAGGAUUUAUCCGCUUUGGGAGAAGCCUGCGUUGGAUUAGGUUGUUGGUAGGGUAAUGGCCUACCAAGCCGACGAUCCAUAGCUGGUCUGAGAGGAUGAUCAGCCAGACUGGAACUGAGACACGGUCCAGACUCCUACGGGAGGCAGCAGUGAGGAAUCUUCCACAAUGGGCGAAAGCCUGAUGGAGCAACGCCGCGUGAAGGAUGAAGGCCUUCGGGUUGUAAACUUCUUUUAUGAGCGAAGAAUAUGACGGUAACUCAUGAAUAAGCACCGGCUAACUACGUG
rnacentral:rRNA from 1 species